rnacentral:misc_RNA from 1 species
AAUUCUCAACCUUUAUCAGCUUUUGCUGGUGAUGGCUUGGAUAUGGGGGUUUAUUUUGCUGGCUUCUUCACAGAUGGUCAGCUCCCCUUAAAUGCAUUAGCCGGUGCCCCGCGUGGACUGUCUAUUGGUGUGAUAAUUAUCUACGCCGUGGACAUCUGCAAUCAUAUGGGUUUGCACUGCUUCCAACCGUCUGUUCAUUCGGACAAUACAUGACA